GUCCCCAUCGUCUAGCUGGCCCAGGACACCGGCCUCUCACGCCGGCGACAGGGGUUCAAAUCCCCUUGGGGACGCCA
rnacentral:tRNA from 1 species